rnacentral:piRNA from 1 species
UUAUGACUUUUGUUUAAUUGU